ensembl:lncRNA
UUUCAUUGCAGGGCUUUGCCACCUGCAUAACAUCUGGUUUGAACUAGGAGUUCUAUGCCCUAGCCCCACUCUCAUCAACUCUCCCACAAAAUUAUCCUUUGAACAAGAGCUUGCCACCCCAUCACAACCAGCAGAGCGGAAGUCCACUGUACAAAGACACCCAGUAAAAGACAAAGACCUCUGAGUGGACAGCACUGGCUACCAGUUAAUGGGCUUCUUAGGAAAAGGAAGUAAAGACUGAUGAAGACCAAAUGUGACUGCUAAAGAACAAAAGGGCUUAUCAAAGAGACCCUAGAAGCUCACCAACAUCUGUUGGUAGGACAAAGCCCUAGGCCCGCUUGAG